AUACGGAGGAUGCGAGCGUUAUCCGGAUUUAUUGGGUUUAAAGGGAGCGUAGAUGGGAGCUUAAGCCAGUUGUGAAAAGCGCGGGCCCAACCCGCGUCGUGCAAUUGGAACCGUGUUCCUUGAGUGGGUUCGGGGCAGGUGGAAUUCGUGGUGUAGCGGUGAAAUGCUUAGAUAUCACGAAGAACUCCGACAGCGUAGGCAUCCUGCCAGGCCCUUACUGACAUUGAAGCUCGAAGGUGCGGGUAUCAAACAGGAUUAGAUACCCUGGUAGUCCGCACGGUAAACGAUGGAUGCCCGCUGUCGGCGACAGACAGUCGGCGGCCAAGCGAAAGCGUUAAGCAUCCCACCUGGGGAGUACGCCGGCAACGGUGAAACUCAAAGGAAUUGACGGGG
rnacentral:rRNA from 1 species